rnacentral:rRNA from 1 species
UGGUCGAGUCGGCCUGCGCGGAAGAUGUAACGGGGCUAAACCAUGCACCGAAGCUGCGGCAGCGACGCUGAUGCGUUGUUGGGUAGGGGAGCGUUCUGUAAGCCUGCGAAGGUGUGCUGUGAGGCAUGCUGGAGGUAUCAGAAGUGCGAAUGCUGACAUAAGUAACGAUAAAGCGGGUGAAAAGCCCGCUCGCCGGAAGACCAAGGGUUCCUGUCCAACGUUAAUCGGGGCAGGGUGAGUCGACCCCUAAGGCGAGGCCGAAAGGCGUAGUCGAUGGGAAACAGGUUAAUAUUCCUGUACUUGGUGUUACUGCGAAGGGGGGACGGAGAAGGCUAUGUUGGCCGGGCGACGGUUGUCCCGGUUUAAGCGUGUAGGCUGGUUUUCCAGGCAAAUCCGGAAAAUCAAGGCUGAGGCGUGAUGACGAGGCACUACGGUGCUGAAGCAACAAAUGCCCUGCUUCCAGGAAAAGCCUCUAAGCAUCAGGUAACAUCAAAUCGUACCCCAAACCGACACAGGUGGUCAGGUAGAGAAUACCAAGGCGCUUGAGAGAACUCGGGUGAAGGAACUAGG